ensembl:snRNA U6 U6 spliceosomal RNA
GUGUUCGCUUCGGCAGCACAUAUACUAAAAUUGGAACGAUACAGAGAACAUUAGCAUGGCCCCUGUGCAAGGAUGACACGCAAAUUCGUGAAGCAUUCCAUAUUUUU